UUCAGUGCUGGCUUUGGGCGAUUUGUUGCGACUUUGCUGCAUUUCAUUUUAUCUUCCAUGCGUUUAAUGGCUGAGGAAAUAGCGGGACGGGGAGGUGGGGUCACCUUGCAGGCACACAGGGCAGGUGACUUGGUGAUGGGUCGGCGCCCCCAGCCUUUGGCCUGGCCAUUCCCACCUGCGAGGAAUGCCUUGCCUUCUCCAUGCAAAUGCGACGUGGGAUCCUGGUUUGGAUCCUGGGACACAAAAAAGGAAGGCAGCGGAAGAAGCAGUGAAAUCUGAGUAAAGUCUGGAGUUUAAUACCAAGUGCCAAAGUUCCUCGCGGUGACAGCUGAACCACGCCUGUGUAAGUUGUUACCUUAAGAGAAACUGAGUGGGGAGGCUACAGCAAAGCUCACGCAAUCUUUGCUACUUUUCUGUAAAUCUAACAUUAUAAUAAAAACUUCAUUUUAGAACA